rnacentral:lncRNA from 1 species
AAUGUCUAUAAGAAGACAAAAGCAAAUAUUUACAUUUCCGUAUGUCUGAAACUCUGCCAACAUCCUCCUAGAAGCAAAUUUCAAGAAUGCUCUUCUUUUCCUUUAAAAGUUAAUAAUGUGAAAAUUUUGAUCUCAGCUUCUCUGGAGACACAGCAAGAAACUAGUCAUUCAAAAAUUUACAUUGAUCUCUCAUCCAAAUACGUUUCGACUGAUAUAACUGAUUUCCCUUUUCUCAAUAAACAUAUUAUCAGUCAAGAGACAUUUCCUGACAUAUUAAUAGGGAAUUCCUGCAGUCUGCUUGAAUAUUAUUGUUCAAAUAUCAGUUUGUUAAUUAUAAACAUAUUUAUUUGUGUAUUUCUUUUUGAUGAAUACUCCACUGUUUGCUGCAGCGUUUUUUUGUUUUUUGUUUUUGUUUUUUUUUUUUUGAGGAAUAUUAGCCCUGAGCUAACUACUGCCAAUCCUCCUCUUUGUGCUGAGGAAGAGUGGCCCCGAGCUAACAUCCGUGCCCAUCUUCCUCUACUUUAUAUGUGGGACACCUACCACAGCAUGGCGUGCCAAGCAGUGCCAUGUCUGCACCCGGGAUCUGAACCAGCGAACCCCAGGCUGGCAAGAAGCGGAAUGUGCGAACUUAACCGCUGUGCCACCGGGCCGGUCCCUGUUUGCUGCAGUUUUAAAGGAGGAAAUAAAUGGGACUUCUCCGUGGAGAGAGAAGAGGAAUUAUACUCACCAACAGUAGUGUAUUCCAGAGUUCACUCCAUCAGAGCUAUGACCUUGCCACGGGGUAGAGAAGAUCUGGAAAUACAACAUCAAACCUGAAAAUAACGCUGGGAGAGCUGGACAAGCCAAACGGAAGUUUCUAUGCAACUGGAAAUCAGUCCCAAAAGAAUGAUAUGUUGUUUUUAAUGUUUUAUAAAGCACUGGAAGUGCUUUUUCUACAGACAAUUGCAAAGAUAUGUCUUAUCUCAUCACUUAUAUUUACUUAAUGCUCUAUGAAUCUCAGAUGAAUCUGCCCCCAUAAUCCCCUCAUGCAUCCCAGUAAAACAGUUGAUGCUCCAUUUGAGUGCUAAUGUAAGUACUAUUUUCAGAACCAUUUCACAUGUGCUACAAUAUAAAUGCUUCAAAAUGAGUGAGGACAUUUUCUACUUCCAGGAACACAUGCUUUACUUUUUUUACUUUCCACUUGUUCAAUGACUGAAUAGAUGUUUCCAUCUUAAUAAUGAAAAUAUACUGCCCAUAUCAAUUACAUGCUUAAGCGAAUUGGUUUUACUUCCUUGCUGGCUGUGUUAUUAUUCUUUGCAACAGAAGAAAAUGGGUUGAACAACACAAAAUUUCUAUAUGUAAUUUAUGGAGGGCAUUAGAGUUUGAUGAGCUGAAAAUAAGCACUCUUUAAAUUCAUAAACACAUACAUAUUACACAUUUGCAACUUCUUUCCUGCAAAUGUGACAUUUUUUAAACUCUGGACUUUUUUUUACCCUGUUGGUUAUGUUGAAAUUAAUGUAAAUGUCAACUUUGUUUACAUAAAGUACAGGAUAUAGAUGUUUAAUAUACCUAAAAGUUUAUUUGAAUCAUCACUGUCCAAUUGAACUUUCUUUCGAUGGAAAUGUUCUAAAAUUUGCACUGUCCCAUAUGGUAGCCAUUAGGCAUACAUUGCUAUUCAGCAUUGAAAUGCAGCAAAUAAGACUUAGAAACUAAACUUUUAAUUUUAUUUAAAUGUAAUUAAUUUAAAUUUAAAUUUAAAUAGUUACAAGUGGCUUG